rnacentral:rRNA from 1 species
UACGGGGGGAGCAAGCGUUGUUCGGAUUUACUGGGCGUAAAGGGCGCGUAGGCGGCCACCGCAAGUCGACUGUGAAAUCUCCGGGCUUAACCCGGAAAGGUCAGCCGAUACUGCGGGGCUAGAGUGCAGAAGGGGCAACUGGAAUUCUCGGUGUAGCGGUGAAAUGCGCAGAUAUCAGGAAGAACACCCGUGGCGAAGGCGGCUCUCUGGGACGGUACUGACGCUGAGACGCGAAAGCGUGGGGAGCGAACAGG